rnacentral:rRNA from 1 species
UACGUAGGUGGCAAGCGUUGUUCGGAAUUAUUGGGCGUAAAGGGCGCGUAGGCGGCUUGUUAAGUCGGCUGUGAAAGCCCGGGGCUCAACCCCGGAGGGUCAGCCGAUACUGGCAGGCUAGAGUACGGAAGAGGUAGCUGGAAUUCCCGGUGUAGCGGUGAAAUGCGUAGAGCUCGGGAAGAACAUCGGUGGCGAAAGCGCUCUACUGGACUGCAACUGACACUGAGGGACGAAAGCUAGGGGAGCGAAUGGG